UACGGAGGGUGCGAGCGUUGUCCGGAAUCACUGGGCGUAAAGGGCGCGUAGGCGGCCUGAUAAGUAGGGGGUGAAAUCCUGCGGCUUAACCGCAGGGCUGCCUUCUAAACUGUCAGGCUGGAGCACAGUAGAGGCAGGUGGAAUUCCCGGUGUAGCGGUGGAAUGCGUAGAGAUCCGGAAGAACACCGGUGGCGAAGGCGGCCUGCUGGGCAGUGGUCUUAGGACCGGGCGACGAAAGUCGUCUGCUGACGCUGAGGCGCGACAGCGUGGGGAGCAAACGAGG
rnacentral:rRNA from 1 species